UCAUUCUUCUUCUUUUCUUCUGCUCCUUCUCUGCUUUUCACCAGAGAGUAAAUCGUGAGAAUCGAUUGAGAGAAAUUACUGAGGAAGUUAUUUAGGCGACGACGGAGAUGGUGCUGCUGUUAAUUAAGGUGGAGAAGAAUAGGAAAUCAGCUGAGUAUUUAGAGUUCUUGUUUUGAUUGAGGGUUUGUGUGGAAUAACAAAGUAGCUGAGGUUGACAACGGUGAACAAAAGAUGAAGUCUGCAUGAUGGUGUUGAUUAAAGAAACAACGGAGAUAAGAAUUAGGGUUCGUGGAUUUUAAAUUGAGUUACCUGUUGGUUUGAAUCAAGGAAGAUGAAAUUGGGUGUUUAUUAUGUGACUGAUUAGAGAUGGUGUUUUGAAUGAUUUGAAGAUUUGGUUACCGAGAUGCAUAUCAUUCAAGUAAUUGAGAAAUCAGGGUUUCGUUCUUGAGGGUUUUGGAUAAGGAGAAAGUAGAAGAUGGGUUUGCUUAAUUUGAGGACUGCAUUGAUGUUGUGAACUCGAAUUAGAAAAUAGAGGAUUGAGAAUUGGUUUUAGGGUUUCUGAGAAUCGAAGAUGAAGACUAUAGAGUUUUAGUUAAUUGAACUGAUGGGUAUAGUUAGUUGGAGAUGUUUGCUCGGUUGAGUUAAGUUAAUAAGAACAUGGCGCUGAAUCUGAAUCAGAUGGAGGUGGAGCAACUGUAAAGGAUUAUGGUUUGUUUCCAAGGUAAAUCUUCUUCAGUAAUUGAGUUUUAUUAAGAUUUUAUCAAAUUUAAGUAAUCAUUGUUUUAGUUCUGAAUUGAGGAAUGUUGAUAAUUUGAGAUGUGUGGGUUGAUAGAAUUUGUAAAAUAUGUAUGGAUUGAAGAUAGGAAGGUGAAUUUGAAACAGCUAUGUUGAACUGGUGGUGAAAAAUGGUUAAGAUGAGUAUAUUUGUUGUAUUGAAGAAUUGGCAUUAGGAAAAGAGGUUUGUUCUGCUGUUGUGGGUGUUAUUGAUUAAAGCAGUGAUUGAUAAUGGAGCUAUAGCAUGUAGUUUAGACUUAUAUUGUUGAUGUGGAUGUUAUUGUUGAGUUACAUAGGUUUAAAUAGAAUUGUUAUGAUCUGAACAAGCAAUUGGUUGUGCUGAUUAGAAUAAGGAAGAGAUAUUGGUGCUUGACUGUGUUACAGAACUUUGAACCAGCAUUCAGGUUCGAGACAAGUGUGUUGAUGUACAGUUCAUGGGGUUGGCAGUGUAGUCACUGAAAUAGAUGUAUGUAGUUUUGAUUGCAGUUGUGUUGGUGGUGCGGGGAGUGAGAAGAUUGUUGUAGCUGUUUGCAAGAAUCUUGUGGAGGAGCAUAUACGUUGUCGAGAGAAUUGAAGGUGUUGCAGAAUGUAUAGGGUGAUGGUGCUGUUGUGUAUUGUUUGUUUGAAUUGGGCUGAGGUGCAGGGUUUUGAGCUGUGUGUGAAUCUGAGGGUAUGAAAAGAAGAUGAGAUGAGUAUUUUCUUGUUGGUGAUAAUGAAUAUGAGUGUCUGGUGAUGGUAUGAAUGUUGUGUAUGGAACAAGAGUUGCAGGCAAGGAAGGGUGGAUAAUUGAAGUUGUAGAAUUAUAGUUAGUCUUGCUGUGAAAAGCUUAAAGCUGCAAUUGCAGGAUGAACCAAUGGAUCGCGGAUCUCGAGGUUGGCGUGGCUUGUCAUCAAAAGAGUUUCAGAGACAGAUCAAAGUUGUUCAGCGGAAGUUUCGAGGAGUUGAGUCCGUUUGUUAGAUUACUUCUGCUAUGUUUAUUAUGUUGCAUAUUAUAAUUGUAAACCAAACGACUAUUGUAUUUGUAUCAUUUGAGAGAAGUCCUUGUAUAUAUAUAAUUAUGAGCGGGGGCUAGUUUUGAGU